UUUCUGACUCAGACUCAGCACUUUGUGUACCCUAUGGUGUCCCUAGGUGAAUAAAAACCCAGGAUUACAUUAGUAAUUUUUUAAAUUCAUAUUUCUUUAGAUACUAACAUAUAUUGAUUAGUCACAUGUCCCCAACCUGGGUCAUCUUCCUGUUUAUCCUACUAUAUUCUUCAAUAAGGAUUUCAAGAGGACAUACGCUAGAACAGGAUGUAUCAGAUAUGCUGGAUGAGACAAGUUUUUUCCAAGGCAUGAAAAGAAGCUGUAUGUCAAGGGUCCAUUCUACAAGUACAGUCACAGCCAAUUACAGUCCCAAGCAGCAAGAAGGAGGGAACAAAGAUAUUGACACUUCUCCUUCCCUGCAACCUACUCCCCACCAAUUAAAAUUCUGAGAAGCUCAAAGGAGACUGAAAAGUGAGAAGCAAAGAUAGUAUCUGAAAAGUCUAGGAGGAUAAAUGUGGGAAAGUCCAGUCAUGUAUCUCCACCCAUGGAUAUGUUGUAUAUGAUCACACAGACACAGGAAAUGGGAAACUGUACAAGUACUUUGAACUGCUGAAUGUCACUGAAUAAAAAACCACAACAGUAUGUUAUAUGAUUUCUGUGUAUCAGAGUAUCUCAUUCCAAUGCUGACCUAGAAGAUGGGAGAAGUGGCACCUUAGCAGUACUUGCCUAUUAUCCAGGUUCUUUGAAUUAGAUCUCUUCAUUACCUGAGCAAAUAAAUCAAAACUCCUUCACAUCUCAUCCUAGGAAACCCUUGUCCAUAUUUUUUCUGUAAGCUUUACCCAAAGUUCCCAUUCAACUGGCUAGACAUUUUUCUCUGGCUAUUUUAAUAUUCCACAGGUGGUGCCAUAGCAUUAAGUUUAUCUGUCAUUAUCUCCCACUCUUGAUAAAUGAUCAGCCAGGAAAUUUAGAAACAUUGGAAUCUUCUACUCCCUGACAACUCAUGAAACAGACAGUACUCAGAGAACCUAUUAAUUCUUUAAGGUCAUUGGGUAACAGGGCUAUAAGUAUAAAUGUGCUUAUUUCCCCUUUUUAAUCCCAUUUCCUAUAAAUAUUAAAAUAAAAUGAGUAAAUCAAUCAAGUUACCUUAAUCCUGUAAAUAUCUUGGUGCCUUUACUAGUCUUUAAUUGAAUCAAAUUCCAAACACAUUCCAAACACAUGAUAAAAGGCCUUAACCAAAUUAUGUCUUUAAAAAUCCAAUGGAUGAAUUGGAGUAAAUGAAAAACAUUUGAAUUGGCCAAAGGAACUUAGUCAUGUGCCCAUGAGUCCUCUAUAAAAUAGCAAACAAAUUCAAAAUUGAAAGAGAUUUCAGGUAAUAGUGAAUAAGGAAAAGGUAUCCCAGUUAACUUUUCUGAGGAGUUGUUUGAGGAAAAAAGAGAACUCUCCAAUCUCGGUUUUGGUCUCUUCCCCACUACCACCAUCAUUGACCAGAGGAACUUGUGAACUGCAUCCUUGGACUAGCUGAUGGCAUUGGGAGCCAAGGACAGAUUAGACACAAUUUAUAAUUCUACAAAGAUCUCAGCAGAAAACUGUAUCACACUUAAGAGUAACAUCUUGAGGAGUCCAGGAAAAAAGGAGUUGUGAAUUAUCCCUUUUACUACAUAUGCUCCCUAAACUUAAGUCCAUUUUCCUUUGAGCUCCACACAUAUUUGGAGGAGUGUU
ensembl:lncRNA